rnacentral:tmRNA from 1 species
GGGGAUGUUUUUUGGAUUCGACGAGUAUAGGUCGAAUUCCGACUGCACUUCGAAGGUUGCGUCUUCGUAAAAACGCUCAGUUUUCGAAUUUAACUGCAAACAAUAAUUCAAACGCUGUUGCAUACGCUGCCUAACAAGUAAGCAUGUAACAAUCCGGCCGGGCUCGUCCAUGGUGCGUUACCGGGUUUCAUAAUUAGUGGACUUACGUUUCAGCUUCCCGUUUGAAGGUUGAAAAAGAGAUUAAUCAAGCUAGCUAGUCAUAGUUGCCUUGAUUAGCGGCGGUUUGGCUAGCGAAUUUCAAGUAGUUAAUCUAUGAGUGUAGAGGUUGGAAUGGCGAUAUAUUCGGACACGGGUUCGACUCCCGUCAUCUCCAU